rnacentral:rRNA from 1 species
GACGAACGCUGGCGGCGUGCUUAACACAUGCAAGUCGAACGGAAAGGCCCUGCUUUUGUGGGGUGCUCGAGUGGCGAACGGGUGAGUAACACGUGAGUAACCUGCCCUUGACUUUGGGAUAACUUCAGGAAACUGGGGCUAAUACCGGAUAGGAGCUCCUGCUGCAUGGUGGGGGUUGGAAAGUUUCGGCGGUUGGGGAUGGACUCGCGGCUUAUCAGCUUGUUGGUGGGGUAGUGGCUUACCAAGGCUUUGACGGGUAGCCGGCCUGAGAGGGUGACCGGCCAAAUGGGACCGGAGAUACGGCCCAGAUCCUACGGGAGGCAGCAGUGGGGAAUAUUGCACAAUGGGCGGAAGCCUGAUGCAGCAACGCCGCGUGCGGGAUGACGGCCUUCGGGUUGUAAACCGCUUUCGCCUGUGACGAAGCGUGAGUGACGGUAAUGGGUAAAGAAGCACCGGCUAACUACGUG